CACGUAGGGUGCAAGCGUUGUCCGGAAUUAUUGGGCGUAAAGAGCUCGUAGGCGGUGUGUCGCGUCUGCUGUGAAAACUCAGGGCUCAACUCUGAGCUUGCAGUGGGUACGGGCACACUAGAGUGCUGUAGGGGAGACUGGAAUUCCUGGUGUAGCGGUGAAAUGCGCAGAUAUCAGGAGGAACACCGGUGGCGAAGGCGGGUCUCUGGGCAGUUACUGACGCUGGAGGAGCGAAAGCAUGGGGAGCGAACAGG
rnacentral:rRNA from 1 species